AAUUUUACAACAGUUGCAAAGCUGCUUUCUCUGCCGGACGCAGCCAGUAGUAAUCGAUCGAACAAGUUUGCGAUCCACCUGAUCGGAAAAACGGCUCGAAGAAAAAGAAAAAAAAAAAAGGAACGGAAUGCUCCUGGCGGUUCUGUAGACGCGCGUGGUUCUACUGUUACAGAAAGGAAAUCCUCGCUUACUGUCGCCGGAAGUGGCCAACCGGGUGGCCGGGUGUUAAUCGGGAGUGCGCGAAAACCUUACGGAUGGUCUUCGCGGUGCGGCCCACCCGGUACAUCGGCGAUCGAGAGAGUGUAGUGUGAGAUCAAUAAUGAGACAGGUGCUCUCAUUGGUGUAAAGCGAUGCGGCGGAGCUGAGAGUUUUGUCGGGCGGCACUAGGGCUCAUGAAAAGUGUAUCCGGCGCGCGUAACGACGCCGUCGCCGUCAAGGAUCAACGUGCCGCGAGACAUUCGAGCGAGUUGGAUCAGUGUAAUUAUAAUGUAGUGCCAACUCUGCAGAUGGAUAAACAGGGAUGACUGAUAAUUGCUGGAACUCUGGUGGUGGCGCUGGCGUCAAGAUGGAGCACUUUCAGGCCACCCUGGACCCAAGGAAGCAGGAGUUGUUGGAGGCCCGCUUUCUCGGAGCGAGGAUGUCUGCUGGGUCACAAAUUCAGAUGGCACCCCAAACAACCGUAAACUCUGGUCAGGCAGUUCAUAGUCAAGACUCGAACAUGAGCACUGGCUCAUCGCAUAGUGAUAAGGAGGUGGAUGCAAACACUCCGGAGAAAGUACCACGGACUACUUCUGAGAGGAAAAGAAAGCGUAAAGCCGAUGAUGGAGGUGGAGGUGUCGCAGGUGGCUCUGUAGCUAGUAAGGGUGCUAGAUCAGUUGCUGCUCUUGAUAAUAAGAAGAUCAAUGAGUAUUUUCCAAAGCAUCAUCUGGGCAGUAGCCCUAUUCGGCAUGGUGGAGCAAAGAGCCCUUCCCCUCAACAGGGUUAUCCUAUGUAUCCACCAUCGCCACAACAGUUACUUUCGCCACAAGUAACAACACCUAAUUCUUCGGUGGCGGAAUUCUCUUCGCUGAUGCAGCCACCGAGACCUCAUCCUCAACCUCCACCACCUCCUCCACCAGCUUCGUCGCAACCUGCGGGCUCUAUGGUCAGCAAGCAGGUGCAGGUAAGGCCUACCAACCUCAAUAGGACAAGCCAGGUCAGGCAAGCGAAGACUAACACCCCAAAUACAGAACUUACUUGCCAGAGGAUACAGGAAUUUGAAACUCAAGCCUCUUCAGACUUAGAACUACGUAACAAUAAAAUUGACGAGUUAAAUAGGACAACGGAUGAACUUAGGCAUCAAAUCGCUAAUCAACAGAAAGUGCUUGAGCAGCACAAAUCACAUAUAAAUAAGUGUAUAGACGUUGUAAAGAAGUUAUUAAAAGAAAAAUCAAACAUAGAAAAAAAGGAGGCUAGACAGAAGUGUAUGCAAAAUAGACUGAGGUUGGGCCAGUUUGUGACGCAAAGGGUGGGUGCGACGUUUCAAGAGAACUGGACCGACGGUUAUGCAUUUCACGAGCUUGCACGACGGCAAGAGGAAAUAGCAACGGAACGAGAGGAGAUCGACAAGCAAAAGAAGCUGCUACUCAAGAAGAGGCCGUCGAACAGCGAGACAGGCAGGAAACGUAGUCAACCACAACCCUCCUUGCAUAACGGUACUGAGGCGACGUUUUUGAAGCCAGAUGCAGUACCUGGGUCGUAUACGUGGCAGGAGUAUUAUGAAGCUGACGAAAUACUCAAGUUGAGGCAAAGUGCGUUGAAAAAGGAAGACGCAGAUUUGCAACUAGAAAUGGAAAAGCUCGAAAGGGAGCGAAAUUUACACAUUAGAGAGUUAAAGCGUAUUCAUAACGAGGACCAAUCGAGAUUUAACUCUCAUCCUGUUUUGAAUGAGCGGUAUCUCUUAUUAAUGUUGUUAGGAAAGGGCGGUUUCAGUGAAGUGCAUAAGGCAUUUGACUUAAAAGAGCAACGGUACGUGGCUUGUAAGGUGCAUCAAUUAAAUAAAGACUGGAAAGAAGACAAGAAGGCUAAUUACAUAAAACAUGCAUUGCGAGAAUAUAAUAUACACAAAGCACUUGAUCAUCCUCGAGUCGUAAAAUUAUACGAUGUAUUUGAAAUUGAUGCCAAUUCCUUUUGUACUGUUCUGGAAUAUUGUGAUGGCCAUGAUUUAGAUUUUUACCUCAAGCAGCAUAAGACUAUACCCGAAAGAGAAGCGAGAUCUAUUGUUAUGCAAGUCGUAUCAGCAUUAAAAUACCUCAAUGAAAUAAAACCCCCAGUCAUACAUUACGAUCUGAAACCAGGUAACAUCCUGUUAACCGAAGGCAAUGUGUGCGGUGAAAUAAAAAUCACGGAUUUCGGUUUAAGUAAAGUGAUGGACGAGGAAAAUUAUAAUCCGGAUCACGGAAUGGAUCUAACGUCCCAAGGAGCGGGUACUUAUUGGUAUCUACCUCCUGAAUGCUUCGUCAUUGGCAAAAAUCCUCCUAAAAUAUCGUCCAAGGUUGACGUAUGGAGCGUAGGAGUUAUAUUUUAUCAAUGUCUAUACGGUAAAAAGCCUUUUGGUCACAAUCAAUCGCAAGCCACCAUUUUAGAGGAGAAUACGAUACUAAAAGCCACCGAAGUUCAAUUCGCGAAUAAACCAACCGUCAGCAACGAAGCAAAGAGUUUCAUAAGAAGUUGCCUAGCGUAUAGGAAGGAGGAACGUAUAGACGUACUGACACUAGCUAGACACGAAUACCUGCAACCCCCAGUGCCAAAACAUGGCCGCCAAGCGAACAGCCAACAGCAGCAGCAACAACAACAGAUCCAACAGCAACAACAGAGCUCGUUCAAUAUCGGCAUGUUUAGUGGUAUGAACGCGUCGAGCAGUUCGUAGUGGAGAGGAAGGACUAAGGACAAAAUCCUCGAUAUAUACCAAUACAUGCCAAAUCUUGAGCGCUCGGACUGUGCACACCAUCUCAUCUUAGGGAAAUAACGAUUGCUAUAACCAAUUGAUCGACUACAUAGGACAUUGCAAGAGAGAUGCGAGACUGGUCACCCGCAAGUCCAGGAGCUUGCGUCUUUCUACAAGCCACGCCACAUUAUUCAGCAUGACAAGAAACAAUGUUGUGUUCGUAAAUAUUCAAUUGUAUUAUCGUUCCUUGUAUCAAACAGUGCGAUGACUUGAUAAUAGUGUUUAAAAGAAACAAGAGAGCGAGAGAGAACGAACGAGCGUGCGAACGAGAAAAUAACAUGUGAUAAGUCAUUACGAGAUAAAAGUGACGUCUAGAAUAAGAGGGGAGGGGGGAAAUAGAGCAUGUAUGAAAGAGAGAAAGAAAGCGCAAGAGCGUAAAACGAGAAAAUAAAGUAAAAUGAAUUUUUUUUUCGAUGGAAGCAAAAUAAAGUUGAUGAGAUAAAGGAAGCAACGAAGAAUAGGAGAAAAAAGUAGGAAGAAGUCGAGAAAAGCAAUCGGAGCAAUCGCUUUCACGGAGAUGACGUUUCUCUCUCCCGGCGUUUUAGUGUGCGUGAGCGAACGAUAGAGGAUUGUUAAAAUUAGUGUGAGUGUAUAUAUUUAUACUAUAUAUAUAAAUAUAUAUAUAUAUGGUGUAAAAAGAACGACGACGACGACAAGCAUUGACAGUGGGAAGACAACUGUGGUGGCUCUAUCCUCGCAUGACCUCCGGCGCCGGUACCGGCAUUCCAUGAAUGCUCGGCCUGUGCAUCAUGUUACUUUAUUCGAAUAUUAACAUUAUUACCUGUAUCAUGACUAAUAACGGUUAACAUACACGCGCAUCCACGCCCACAUACGAAAACACAUACACGACACGAGUACACGAAGGAGAUUUGAUUGGUUGUUCCUAUUCUGAGACGAGAGUGGGCUUUAUCUAUAAUGCCGGAACGAUAGUCCGAUAGAGAGCGAAGUGAGAAUCGCAUAGAGAAAACGAGAGUGUGUGUGUGAGAAAGAGAGAGAGAGAGUCGCGAUGUGCUCCCAAAGUGAAUAAAAAAAAAGCAUCGUAGUCCACCACUUAUCAUCACCACUUGUAAAACCCGUUCUCACGCGUGUAUAGUUUAAAACCCCAUAUCGAUUCGCUAUAACGAAGUCACGCAUUACGUUUUUCCUCCUUCACUCUUCCUCCUUUUUUCUUCUCUCCUCUCUUUUCUCCCUAUUUUCUCUAAAAUUAGAGAGAUAGAGAAAAAGAGAGCGAGAGAAAGCGCGGAUCCAAAUGUGUGUGUACAGAGCAAGUUUAAAGAAACGGUUAAAUGAUUUAUAAUUAAUUAAUCGGACGAGAAAUACGGGAAAAAUAUGACGAGGAUAAGGAAAAACGAGCAAAUCUUUAAGCUAAGAAAGCCCGUGAAAUGCUAUACCGACCCAAUCAUUAUUUCUUUACUCGUAAUUUGUUUUAUAUAUGUACGUUAUAUAUAGAUAAUUAUGAAAUAGAAAACUAAGUUAUUUUAUCAAGUGCCCUUGCUUUGUAUUAUAGUCGCGUCCGUCGGCGAGCCGUAGCUUCUGGGAGUAAAAGAAAGAGAGAGAAAGAGAGAAUGAAGAGAGAAUGUGUUGAGAGCGAAAGUGAGAUUAAAGCGAACGAGUGCGUGUGUUGUUAAAAUAUUGCGUCAGUUAUUGGUACAAUGUGGGCACCGGGGUAUUGAUGACAUUUCAAUACCAUCAAUGUGAUUGGCAGAAGUGUGGUGAGAGAGGAGAAUACAUUACAAGUCUGAACAGAGUCUACUACUUAGAUCCGUCGCUUCAAUUUUGACAAAAAAAAAAAAAGAAUAUCAACCGUUCCUGCAUCCCACAUCCCAUUUUUUCGCGAAAAAACGCAGUGCGCUCUUUUUUCAUUUUACAAGCGCGACGUCGCAUUAAUCGUGCUCUUUGACGCCCUAUGAUGUAACAUGAUUCCAAAGGGAUAUCCGCGUUGCAAUUCGACAUAGUUUUCCUCUACGACGUGGAUUUCCGAAAUUCUUUUCGCUGACAGGAAAGAGAAGGGAGGGAGGGAGGAAGUAUUAACGCGACUAAUAAAAUGCAAAAAAUUGUUAUCUGCAUUGUUUCUCUUCGUUAUAUCAUUUUCGCGCGAUGAACCUAGAUUGAGUAGAGCUUAUCUCUAAAAGUUUACUGCAGCCGGCCUUCAAAAAAAUUAUUCGAAGGUGUAAUUUGCCAAGCGUUUAACGCCUUCGAGAUCUCUCGUGGUGAAUGAUGAACAUUUACGCGAGAAUACAUAGGGUUCGUAUACUUUGCGACAGGAAGGAUAUUUUACAUUUAUACAUAUCUAUGGAAUUCUCUGUGAACGUAAUCGGUGAAUGCAAUCACGUGCAUGUAAAAUAGAAACGGAAAAAUUAAAAAAAAAAAAGGAUUUUAUCGAAAACUUUUCACUGAGCAAAAAUAGAAAGGAAAAUACCUUCCCAUCGACUAUAAGGUAUUGCCAUCAUCUACAUACUACUAUAAUAUCCGUAAUACUAAAUACUUUUUUCUUUUCCAAUCGUCCCUGCAUGUCGGCAUAUAGUCACGAUCUUCCUCAUGAUAAAAAAAAAAGAAUGAAAAGGAAAGAAACAGGAAUUGCGUCGAGGGCGGUGUAUGAAAACGUUAUAGCAAUAAAUUUUACGUAUUUGUGUAUAAUUUAAAAUUAGUAAACUUAUUAAUUAAAUAUAAAUCACACGCAUCUCUCACGGUAUGCAUGAUAUCCCCGCUGUUUUUCGUUUCUCUUCCGUCACUUUCGUUUUUGGCGAACGAUGUUGAACAAUGAAUUGCCGAAUGUCUCAAAAGUUAGAACAUUUUAUUUAUAUAUUUAUAUAUACGUAUUUAGUAUGUGUGAAUUAUAUAAAAAUGAAAAUCGCCAAGGUUACACGAAGUAUUGAUUAGGCUGAGAACGCGCGCGUUUUGGGCCGAGGGCUAAUCGACUGGUCUCUGUAUUGAGAUAUUCAUUUAAUAGCAGGUGUAAAAUCGUUGCGCUAAUUACAACCACAAUAAUUCUUUUUAUCUUAUCCUACGAGUGAACAAGUUAUGCGUACACAGAACUAGUAUAAUUGUAGUCGGAGAAGUGAAAUUCAAUGAACACCAAAUAUGCCUCGAAGUUAAUUAAUUUCUUCGAAUUCGUAUAUGGAAAGUAAAAUAAAAACAUUUAUAUAUGAGAGAAGAGAGAGAGGAGGAUAAGCACGUAAAUUGUGAGGGGAAUCGAUCAGUUUUUGAUUCGCAUUAACUUUUAGCUCCGGCUCUUUUUUUCUAAUUCUAGUUACAAUCGUGACUCUCUCAACUAUUCGAUCACGUCUUGACUCUCGCUCAACAGUUCAAAAUCUACAAAUUGUUACCUAUGAGACACGAGCAUGAAGUAAAUUUACUUUCUACGCGUGGUCAGUAUAAAGUUAAAACGUCCGACAGCUUUGCUUAAUCGAUAUUGA